rnacentral:rRNA from 1 species
GAUGAACGCUGGCGGCGUGCCUAAUACAUGCAAGUCGAGCGAACAGACGAGGAGCUUGCUCCUCUGACGUUAGCGGCGGACGGGCGAGUAACACGUGGAUAACCUACCUAUAAGACUGGGAUAACUUCGGGAAACCGGAGCUAAUACCGGAUAAUAUAUUGAACCGCAUGGUUCAAUAGUGAAAGACGGUUUUGCUGUCACUUAUAGAUGGAUCCGCGCCGCAUUAGCUAGUUGGUAAGGUAACGGCUUACCAAGGCAACGAUGCGUAGCCGACCUGAGAGGGUGAUCGGCCACACUGGAACUGAGACACGGUCCAGACUCCUACGGGAGGCAGCAGUAGGGAAUCUUCCGCAAUGGGCGAAAGCUUGACGGAGCAAUGCCGCGUGAGUGAUGAAGGUCUUCGGAUCGUAAAACUCUGUUAUUAGGGAAGAACAAAUGUGUAAGUAACUAUGCACGUCUUGACGGUACCUAAUCAGAAAGCCACGGCUAACUACGUG